rnacentral:rRNA from 1 species
UUCAAGACCAGGACGUUGAUAGGUCGGGUGUGUAAGGCGUGUAAGCGCUUGAGCUAACCGAUACUAAUUGCUCGUGCGGCUUGACCCUAUAACUUUG